rnacentral:misc_RNA from 1 species
UCCUGCUUAUCGCAGGCCGUCCAUAUAGAGUCCCCAACUUAAUGAUGGUAACUAUAUGCAAGGGUUGCGCUCGUUGAGGAACUUAAUCCAACACCUCACGGCACGAGCUGACGACGGCCAUGCACCACCUGUCCUAAUGUCCGGAAAGGAAACACACAUUUCUGCAUGUGUCAUUAGAAUGUCAAGACCUGGUAAGGUUUCUCGCGUACUGUCGAAUUAAACCACAUGCUCCACCGCUUGUGCGGGUCCCCGUCAAUUCCUUUAAGUUUCAAUCUUGCGAUCGUACUCCCCAGGCGGGAUACUUAACGCGUUAGCUUUGACACGGAAUAUACGAUAUCCCACAUCUAGUAUCCAUCGUUUAGGGCUAGGACUAC